GGAGGUAGCGAGGGGAGAGGAGAGGGAGGCAGUGAGGGGAGAGGAGAGGGAGGCAGCGAGGGGGGGGAGGAGAGGGAGGCAGCGAGGGGAGAGGAGAGGGAGGCAGCGAGCGGAGAGGAGAGGGAGGUAGCAAGGGGAGAGGAGAGGAGAGGGAGGCAGUGAGGGGAGAGGAGAGGGAGGCAGCGAGGGGAGAGGAGAGGGAGGUAGCGAGGGGAGAGGAGAGGGCGGCAGCGAGGGGAGAGGAGAGAAGAGGGAGGCAGCGAGGGGAGAGGAGAGGAGAGGGAGGUAGCGAGGGGAGAGGAGAGGAGAGGGAGGCAGCGAGGGGAGAGAAGAGGGAGGCAGUGAGGGGAGAGGAGAGGGAGGCAGUGAGGGGAGAGGAGAGGGAGGCAGCGAGGGGAGAGGAGAGGGAGGCAGCGAGGGGAGAGGAGAGGAGAGGGAGGCAGCGAGGGGAGAGGAGAGAAGAGGG
ensembl:lncRNA